AUGUGUUGAAACUGUGUAUCAA
rnacentral:piRNA from 1 species